GCUCUAUAAAGACCUGCCGUCAUUCGCUCACAUCUUCCAACCAAUCAGAACGCUGCUUCUCCAGCAUCUUCCUGUCGAGGGUUACCCCGCCCCUAUCCAGGAUCUUCACAGCGAGAUCUUAGACGCCAUUCCUGAGCAGCCUUCCCAGCAUGCACCUCUGGUGUUC